GCAAGGAUACCGGGGAGGCCCAGGAACAAAGCUCUGAGCGUGGUGCCCACAUAGGCACACGCACACGCAGGUGGGGGCAGCCCGGAGCCCCUGCGUGAACCACGGGCAGAGCCAUCUGCUGGGGGGGGGGGAGGAAUGUUGGAGGUUGGAAACCGAUGCUGAGUAGAGCAGGAGGCAGGGCUGUGGGGAGCGAGCAGCUGACUCCGGGCACCGCGGCUUUGUGGGCACCAGACAUCCUUGGUGUGGGAUUUCCUCCGCUGGAGCGCAGAAGCUGGUGCAGGGCCGAGAAGACAGGUGACUUGCAAAUCCCCGCCUGGAGCGGGGCCGGAUGAGCCGGGCGGAAGGACAAAGGGGCACAGCAGCUGAGGGCACUGGCAAGCCAACGCCGUGUCAUCGACCCUGAACACGCAACGUCCAGCCACACGCUUUGUUACGUGGUGCCGGGGAGAGAGCGGUGGGAGAUUUUGGGGGUUUGCAGUAGAGAAGGCGAGACAGAAGGAAGAAGCUGGCGUUCCUAGACAACCGUGAGAAAGAAGAUGUUUGGGAGGGAGAUGCGGGGGACAAACAACCUGCCUGGGGGGAGCAGGACCGGCCACCGUCCCUCGAGGGGCACCGCAGGAGGCUGGGCAAGCGGGCCUGGCCUCGCGUUCUCUGGCACCGCAACCAGCGCAGCUGCCCUCCGGAGGGCAGGGGGAGCUCAUCCUGGAAGCAGGCGCAGGGAGCAACGAGGGAAGGCCAUUUAGCAGAAAAGCAAAAACCUCUGUCAUGGGGAAUUUUGUAAUGUUCGUGCCCGAAGCAGAGAAGAGGAAAGCCGGAAGUUGGUCCUGAGCUCAGGGCAGCGAGGGGGGCCGUCAUUCGAGGCCACGGAGUGCCACCUAGUGCCCAUCUGAGGAAAUGCGCCCUGCUUAGGGGACAGGCUCAGGCCGGUGGCUUCUUCGAGCUCAGGAUGCAGAGGGCAGGGAGAACCUGGGCCAGGAGCUCACCUCCCCGAGCUCACCUUACCCCACGCUAGGAGGACUCUGGAUCCCGGUCCUGGCUCAGACACCAGCGGGGAGACUCCAGCCCACAGCCUCUGCGUCUGUUGGGAAGCAGCGGAGGGUCCUGGCUUCCACUCGCAUGUUCUGGGUUCCUGUCCGCAGCCAGGCCCUGCUCUGUCCGUCCUGCCCGCCCCGCCCCGUGCAGCCGGAGUGAGUGUGGAGGAAGGGCAGCCUCCCCGGGGCAGGGGGUCCACCUGCCAGCAGAAUACAAGCUCCGAUCACGGAUGCUGGGGUAUCAGCACGGCGCUUUGCUGGGGUGAAGUGCUCCAAGAAAACCCUGGGUCUUGAGUCGGACUCUAGCCUGGUCUAAACAGAAGCACCUUGGGGACGGGAGCUGACCAGUUCUUCUAGAAGUUUCUCUCUGUUCCUUUGGCCUCUCUAUGAUUCUACCCCAUUUGUCUUUGUUUGGCCGUCUGAAGCACUUCAGAAUAAUUCUUUUUAUUCCGUACCUGCAAAGAGUUUUUACCUUCCCUGUAAAUACCGUCAUUUUGGGGCUGAAUGUGCCUAACUUCCUUCAUUCUUUAGACCAGUGACUCUCAACCGAGGACGAUUUUGCCCCUCAGGGGACAUUUGUCUGGAGCCCAUUUGGUUGUCACACUUGGAAGAGCAAGGCUGCUGCUGACAUCUAGUGGGCAGAGACCAAGACGCAGCUCACGUCCUGCGGGGCUUGCAUGGCGCCCCGCAUCCCUGCCGCCCCACCGCCCCCCAAACACACAAAGACCAAUCCAGCCCCAAACGCAUUCGUUUGGAGCUUACAGAAACUUACCUGGGAGUUCCGAGACUUCUCAGCACCCCAGUCCCUUAGGGGAACGUUUUCCAUUUGUCGUGGGUAUUUCUACCAUCCUAUGGAGUGUCCAGGUCAGCUCUGACCAGCCUGGGCACCUUGGGGGUCUACCUGGCAGACACCUCUCAGCGGAGCCGAAAGCCUACAUCAGUCUCCUUAGCAAUCCUUUGCUCAUGCAGUCGGUACGUUUCUGAACAAAGCACUUAUCAACUCAACCACGCAUACGAUUAAAACCUAGACACAUACUACCUAGAAAAGCUAGUAUUAUAUUUACACACACACGCAUAGAUGUUGGGUAAAAUGAACAUUCCUAUAGAUGCAUUCAGCUUUAAAUAAUUAUUAUUCUAUAACUAUUUUUUUUUUUUUUUGAACCAUUCCCCUCGACAAAGAAAUGGUGGAGCCCGACUGGAGCUCUGCAGGGCAGACAGAACAAAGAAAAAAAAAAAAAGAUGCUUGUCAAGUAAAAUAUGAAAGGCGUGCUCCAAGCUCCCCUAAUUACAUCUUGGAAGGGAAGCUUUGUCCUAGUGACAUUCAGGAUCAUUUUUCAUAAGCUCAGGUUACCCUCUUGAAGAUUUUUAGGAAGUUUCAUGAUAUGGAGACAUUGUUGAAAAAUUGGCUGCUUGACUUCUGCUAAGCAAUCAGAUUUGGAGAUCAAAUCCAUUCCUGCCCGCUUAGCUUCGAGCUCCGCCGGUUAUCUCGGGCAAAAUGAGUUGGCAACUUUAACUUGGACUUUUCAGGAGGCGGAUGGUUUGACCCUGCUCUUCUGUGUGUGGUUUUCACAAAGGCUCUCCGAGAAGGCUUGGCUGAAGGUGCAGAUUGAUUCUGAGAUAGUUGACAUGGUCUGAGGCCAUAAACAUCACAGCAUUUAGGGGACAACAGACGUGAUUGUCAUCUUUAUACACGAGAAGCGGAGGAAACAGAAUCCCUUUCGCCAGACCCUCAGGUCUUUCCUUUAGAAUAUAAAAUUCUCAAGUAAAUUGUGGGUUCCUCUUGCCCUGCCCUGAAUUUUAAGUGUUGGACUGCUUAAACUAUCAUUAAAACUUAAUGAAAUUAAA